rnacentral:ncRNA from 2 species
GACAGAGGGUGCUAGCGUUGUUCGGAAUGACUGGGCGUAAAGGGCGCGUAGGCUGCCUUUUAAGUCAGGCGUGAAAGCCCCGGGCUUAACCUGGGAACUGCGUUUGAUACUGAAAGGCUUGAGUGCGGAAGAGGAGAGUGGAAUUCCUAGUGUAGAAGUGAAAUUCGUAGAUAUUAGGAGGAACACCGGAGGCGAAGGCGACUCUCUGGUCCGCAACUGACGCUGAGGCGCGAAAGCGUGGGGAGCAAACAGG